rnacentral:rRNA from 1 species
AACGCGAAGAACCUUACCUGGUCUUGACGUCCACGGAAGUUUUCAGAGAUGAGAAUGUGCCUUCGGGAACCGUGAGACAGGUGCUGCAUGGCUGUCGUCAGCUCGUGUUGUGAAAUGUUGGGUUAAGUCCCGCAACGAGCGCAACCCUUAUCCUUUGUUGCCAGCGGUCCGGCCGGGAACUCAAAGGAGACUGCCAGUGAUAAACUGGAGGAAGGUGGGGAUGACGUCAAGUCAUCAUGGCCCUUACGACCAGGGCUACACACGUGCUACAAUGGCGCAUACAAAGAGAAGCGACCUCGCGAGAGCAAGCGGACCUCAUAAAGUGCGUCGUAGUCCGGAUUGGAGUCUGCAACUCGACUCCAUGAAGUCGGAAUCGCUAGUAAUCGUGGAUCAGAAUGCCACGGUGAAUACGUUCCCGGGUCUUGUACACACGC